rnacentral:rRNA from 1 species
UACAGAGGUCUCAAGCGUUGUUCGGAUUCAUUGGGCGUAAAGGGUGCGUAGGCGGCGUGGUAAGUCGGAUGUGAAAUCUCGGAGCUUAACUUCGAAACUGCAUUCGAUACUGCCGUGCUUGAGGACUGGAGAGGAGACUGGAAUUUACGGUGUAGCGGUGAAAUGCGUAGAUAUCGUAAGGAAGACCAGUGGCGAAGGCGGGUCUCUGGACAGUUCCUGACGCUGAAGCACGAAGGUCAGGGGAGCAAACGGG